GCUGCUGGCUUCAGCAGCAGCACGUGUACAAAAGUUUGGAAUGCUACAGAGAAGAUUAGCAUGUCCCUGCGAAAGGAUAGCACACAAGUUAUGAAGAGUUCUAUAUUCCU